GGGGCUGUAGAGCUGACUUGCUUUAGAAGGUGGUUUCUGUGUGGAAGAGGUGGGUCCCUGUGACAGGACCCAGGAAUGUUUCUUUCCCCUCCCUCUCCCUGUCCCCUGCUUCCUGGAUGCCAUGAGGAGAGCAGCUGUCCUCCGCCCAGGCCCUUUCACUGUGUAUCCUGCCGUGGAGCCAGGUGACUAUGGAUUGAAACUUCUACAGACGGUGAGCCAAAAUAAACCCUUCCUCCUGGAAGUUGUGGGUGUUGGGUACUGUGUCUCCAUGAUGAGAAAGUGACUGAGACAACCCAUUUUGAAGAUCCUUGCUGGCAAAUCUAUUUUUGCAAUACAUAAGAGGGUCCAGAGAGCUCUCUUUGAUUUCCCAUUCAGCUCUGAGGGUUGGGGACAAAUGGGAAGGAACCACUAUUCCUGUCUCUGUCCACUCUGGCUGCUAUGACGAAAUACCAGAGACCAGGUGGUUUACAAAUGAUGGACAUUUAUUUCUCCCAGUUCUGGAGUCCGGAAGUCCAAGAUAAGGCAGAUGUGGAAUGUGGUGGGCAUGUGCUUCCUAGUUCCAGAUAGCAUCUGUUUAUGACUCCUCAUGUGGCAGGGAGAAGAGAGAGCUCAUCUCUUUCAUGACUCUUCAUGCACUAAUCCCUUUCCUCAGGGCUCCAUCCUUAUGACCUACUCACCUCCCACGGGCUCCACCUUCAGAUACUGCCACAAUGGGGACACAUGCAGUCUGGAAUGAUCUUGAACUGUAGUACUAAUGGUUCUCAGAGCAAGAGGAGCAGUCCAGGGGCCCCCAACGCCAGGUCUGGGUUUGUGUACUGGAUUUCAUCUGUGAGUUACACAGGAACUACAUUAGCUAAAACACCAGGGCUCAGGCAUGAACUGUUAAGUGUGCUUACAAAUCUUUUCUUGUGAAGCUAUUUUUUAAAAUGAC
rnacentral:lncRNA from 1 species